UGUGCCUGAGAUCUGACACGGACCCGUACAGGGGAAGUCGGUGAUCCUAUGCUGCCAAGAAAAUCUUCUAGCGAGGUUCGAGCCGCCCGUACCCCAAACCGACUCAGGUGGUUAGGUAGAGAAUACCAAGGCGAUCGAGUGAAUCGUGGUUAAGGAAUUCGGCAAAAUACCCCCGUAACUUCGGGAGAAGGGGGGCCCAGAGGGUGACGGGACUUGCUCCCCGAGCCUGAACGGCCGCAGAGACCAGGGAGAAGCGACUGUUUACUAAAAACACAGGUCCGUGCCAAGUCGCAAGACGAUGUAUACGGACUGACGCCUGCCCGGUGCUGGAACGUUAAGGGGACCGGUUAGCCUCACGGCGAAGCUGAGAACUUAAGCGCCAGUAAACGGCGGUGGUUACUAUAACCAUCCUAAGGUAGCGAAAUUCCUUGUCGGGUAAGUUCCGACCUGCACGAAUGGCGUAACGAUUUCUCCACUGUCUCAACCACGAACUCGGCGAAAUUGCACUACGAGUAAAGAUGCUCGUUACGCGCAGAAGGACGGAAAGACCCCGGGACCUUUACUACAGCUUGGUAUUGGUGUUCGGUACGGCUUGUGUAGGAUAGGUGGGAGACUGAGAAGCUGACACGCCAGUGUCGGUGGAGUCAACGUUGAAAUACCACUCUGGUCGUUCUGGAUAUCUAACCUAGGUCCGUGAUCCGGAUCAGGGACAGUGCCUGGUGGGUAGUUUAACUGGGGCGGUUGCCUCCUAAAAGGUAACGGAGGCGCCCAAAGGUUCCCUCAGCCUGGUUGGCAAUCAGGUUUUGAGUGUAAGUGCACAAGGGAGCUUGACUGUGAGACUGACAAGUCGAACAGGGACGAAAGUCGGGACUAGUGAUCCGGCGGUGGCUUGUGGAAGCGCCGUCGCUCAACGGAUAAAAGGUACCCCGGGGAUAGCAGGCUGAUCUUGCCCAAGAGUCCAUAUCGACGGCAUGGUUUGGCACCUCGAUGUCGGCUCGUCGCAUCCUGGGGCUGGAGUAGGUCCCAAGGGUUGGGCUGUUCGCCCAUUAAAGCGGUACGCGAGCUGGGUUUAGAACGUCGUGAGACAGUUCGGUCCCUAUCCUCUGCGCGCGCAGGAAACUUGAGAAGGGCUGUCCCUAGUACGAGAGGACCGGGAUGGACGAACCUCUGGUGUGUCAGUUGUUCUGCCAAGAGCACCGCUGAUUAGCUACGUUCGGGAGUGAUAACCGCUGAAAGCAUCUAAGCGGGAAGCAUGCUUCAAGAUGAGGUUUCCAUGGGGUUUACCCCGAGAGGCUCCCAGCUAGACUACUGGGUUGAUAGGCCGGAUGUGGAAGUGCGGUAACGCAUGGAGCUGACCGGUACUAAUAAGCCGAUAACUUGUC
rnacentral:rRNA from 1 species